UGCCGCCUGGGCGCCGCCGAUAAGGGCGGUCGGCGGGGCCGCCGCGGCCGGUGGGAGCGGGGCUCCGGGGAGGAGGGCGCCGCGGCCGGCCCCGGGGCUGGCGCCUGUGCCCACAUUCCCGUGUUGACCGAAAGCCUGUCCCUCCAGGCAGUUACUGCUGCGAGUGUGUGUUUUUCCUUUAGGAGUAUGACAUCAAGCUCUGUGUUUAUUUGGCUAAAUACCUGAGAAACUGCUAAGAGAUAAAGCGCAGUUCCUGUUUUCCCCGCUCGCUGCCAAGGGAUACUUUUGCGCGGUGAAUCUAAAUGAUAAACUGGAAAUUGAAGCUCCMGUCUGAGAAAACUCCAAGUCACACGAAUGAGUGAAUUGCCGAAGGGAUUUAGUUUCUGCUAAUGCAAGGAUGAUUUACCAGCUUCAGUGAGCCAUGCAAGAGCUGACAUACAGCUUUAGUGUACAGAGGGAGAAGUUCUUUAAAUUAGAGAGUGUAACCCAAGAAGCAAAGCCAAGUUAAGCAGUCCCCAGUUGCUGCUCACAUCUCAUUCCCACUGCCUCGGUUAUUUUGAUAAAAGUGCUUGUGUAACCAAAACCAUAUCUGGGAGGUAAUCUGUGUUAAAAGCAAUAUAUAUGGAAAAAAAGUUACUUCUAACCUGCAUCACUUCUCAAGUCUGGUCUGCACAGUCACACAAGAAAUACUGCCUUAACUGAGUGGUUAACACAUGAGUAGGAAGGAGCAGGGAGUUGCAGCCACUUAAACUGGCAUUGCCACCAAAAUAAAUGCUUAUGCCCUUUGCACAGAAAAUCAUACAGCUAAAACAAGAAUUAUUAUCUGAAGACAGUUACACAAUUUCUGAAUUAAAGGAGGAAGGAGAGAGCUUCAGAAUAAAAAAGGUAGUUGCCACAUUAUCGUGUUUUGUUUGGUUCACUGUUGCUACUGUAAACAUGCAUUUUUUAAUCAAGAAUGGUAAAGUAACUUUCAGUCUCUAACUUCUCUGACUUUCCUUUGAUAGCAUAGAGUGCCCUCAUGUGGCUAUUUCAUUUUCCCAAUGCAAUCACGUGAUUAUAGAUAAUGUUUUACCUGUUCUGUGUAUUACAGGGGCUCUAUUGAAUUCUGCAGUCGCACUUUUGUAACACAUAGUCUCCUUGAGGUUUUUUGCAUAUAAACCAAUGCAUGAAAACUGCAAACUAUAGGUAAUUUACUAUAGAAAACAUUGUUCAGAACUCGUUCUAUAGUCUAAAUAAAAU
rnacentral:lncRNA from 1 species